rnacentral:rRNA from 1 species
AAUCUUGCUCAAUGGGGGAAACCCUGAAGCAGCGACACCGGGUAAAUGAAGAAGGUUUGAGGAUGGUAAAAUGUAAUAAGUAGGAAAAAAUAAGUAAUUUUUAUUACGAUGAUGGUACGUACCUAAAGUACCGGUUAAUUACGUGCCAGCAGCCGGGGUAAUAGGUAUGGUACAAGGGUUGUUCGGAAUCAUUGGGGGUAAAGGGGGUGGAGGUGGAAUAGAUAUUCAGAUGUGAAAUCUAUAGACCUAAUUUAUAAAUUCCAUUUAAAACUUUUAGUGUAGAGUUUAAAAAAGGUAAGGGGAAUUCCUGGUGUAGUGGUAAAAUACAUAAAUAUCAAGAGGAACACCGAUGGGGAAAGCAACUUACUGUUUUAAAACUGACACUGGGGCAGUGAGGCGGGGGUCCUAGGGGGGAGAGAUACCGUGGUGAUCCACGCCGUA